CAAGGCAAGAUUGACGGAUUCACACCAUCUAAAAUAAAGUUAUCACAUCUAUUGAAGCAAAAUAUUGUUUACCGCACUCUCAUAGGAAAAUGAAAGAAACUUACAUUGCAAGAAAUGUAUAACCAUCAGCACCAAAGAAUAGCUCGAAAUGGUCAUAUUCUUAGCAUCGUUGAUGUCUUGGCACUGCGCCCAGAGUUUCACCACCAAUACCAAAGGUGGUCAUUCGAGGUACUAACGUUGUGAGUAGCAAUACAGCAAAUGUGUAUUUCUGAUUCCGACAGCAUUAUUGCAAUUUAAAUCGACA
rnacentral:lncRNA from 1 species